rnacentral:rRNA from 1 species
UACGUAGGCAGCAAGCGUUGUUCGGAGUUACUGGGCGUAAAGGGUGCGUAGGCGGUUGUUUUAAGUUUGGUGUGAAAUCUCCCGGCUCAACUGGGAGGGUGCGCCGAAUACUGAAUGACUAGAGUGCGGGAGAGGAGAGUGGAAUUCCUGGUGUAGCGGUGAAAUGCGUAGAUAUCAGGAGGAACACCGGUGGUGUAGACGGCUCUCUGGACCGUAACUGACGCUGAGGCACGAAAGCGUGGGGAGCGAACAGG